GAUUGCUGUAAAUAACGCGCCACGUGACGUCACAUCACACAGACAGAAGAACACGGCCGCUGGUGACCGGAGAAGCAGAACGGUGUAUUUCUGGAAGUUUGCAGUGUGGUCCACUUGUCUUUGCAUCCUGGGAAGUGCAUUGCUUUCACAAGGAAGCGUAUUUUUUUGGCAUUGAAGGAAAGAAAUGUACUGCCCGACAGGGAGUGAGCAGAAGACCAGGACGUGGUGCAGAGUGAUGGCCAUCAACCCACAUGUCAACAGCUUCGUUCGGUCCUUUGUGUUUAAAUGGAAGACUUCACACUGAGGGACUGUGGCCUGUUUGCAGCCAUCCACGUGCCCUUCAGUUAGGGGUGAAUCUUGUGGGACACUUGUUGUUUUUGCUCACUUUUUAAGAUAAAUCAAAUUUCUGAUGCACUGUACCAAGACCGUUGCUGAUGGGGCGUAAGAUGGAGACAAUUCUGAAAUGUUUUGAAAUGUUUAAAUAUAUUGAUUGAAUAAAAAUACAUUUUUAAAAUUUACUCUGGUUUGCCUUUUGAUUUGUAAUGUUAUUCUGUAGUAUAGUACUAUUGUAAUAUUACUAACUAUAGUAUGUAUAUACUAUUCUAACCUAUGUAUUAUAUAAUUAUAUAUUUUAUCAUUAUUAGCAAUGAUUAUAAGUAAUAUUUAUCAGUGAAAUAACUAUAUAAUACAAUAUAGUAAAAUACAGUAAAAAUUGAUCAAAUUACAAAAUACUGUAAAAAUACAGUAAAAUACUGUUAUGUAGUUAUACAGUACUGUUCUUUGUACUGUAAAAUUGCAUUACAGUACAUUGCUGUAAAGCGAAAUACACUACAUUGCUGGCAACCCUGCUGCCAGUACUGUACUGUAAAAAUACAGGGAAAUUGUUAACAGUGUACACAAAUGUAUCCAAUCCUAAAAAAAGUUACAUACAGCUCAUAUUUACCAUAUUAACUUAAAGUUCACUCACUUGUAACGUUGUUCUGUCAUCUUGAACAGGAAAGUAAGUAAAGUGCAUCCUCUGUGAUGUCACUGAUUACAUUUUAAGGCAAGGUUUAAAAAAAUGACAGAUAUAAUGCAAGUGCUUUUUGCUACUUUCAGCCCAAUGCAGUUAUCAUUUUCACGUCCUGCACCACGUUGUUUAAAUAGAAAAUGCAUUUGCACCCAUUUGUGCACCUAUAGGCGUGCUGAUCUGAAAACGAGGUGUGUUCAGACACAUUGUUGGCGUGUUGCUAUUUUGAGGCAACUGAAAUAGACCGCGCCAUUGACCAACUGAAACCUGCUCUAAAGUCAAUGCCGCAAUAUUUGUUUUGUUAUUUAAAGAGCGUGUUAGUAAUAUGAGCCUAUAUGCGCGUGCACAACGCGUGUACACUCUGAUUAUUACACAAAGUGAACUAAACCUUUAAGUUCAACUAAAUUAAUUACAUUUUCUUUUCAAAACUGGCGUCUGUCUAUUGACAAUAAUGCAAGCAGAAAUUCCUUUACGCCACUAAUUGGAGCUGGAUGAGACGACAUGCUGAUUGUGAUAAAGGUCCAUAGAAUGCUGCAGUAGUGACCAUGUCAUGUCCGGCUAGA